rnacentral:rRNA from 1 species
AGUCGUACGAGAGUUUUUAACUCAAGUGGCGGACGGGUGAGUAACACGUAAGAAUUUGCCUUUAGGAGGGGGACAACAACUGGAAACGGUUGCUAAUACCCCAUAUGCUUUCGAGUGAAAUGGAUUUUUCCGCCUAGAGAGAAGCUUGCGGCUGAUUAGCUUGUUGGUGAGGUAAUGGCUCGCCAAGGCGACGAUCAGUAUCUGGUUUGAGAGGACGAUCAGACACACUGGAACUGAGACACGGUCCAGACUCCUACGGGAGGCAGCAGUGGGGAAUUUUCCGCAAUGGGCGAAAGCCUGACGGAGCAAUACCGCGUGAGGGAUGACGGCCUAUGGGUUGUAAACCUCUUUUUUCAGGGAGGAAUAAAAUGACGUGUACCUGAAGAAUAAGCAUCGGCUAACUCCGUGCCAGCAGCCGCGGUAAGACGGAGGAUGCAAGUGUUAUCCGGAAUCACUGGGCGUAAAGCGUCUGUAGGUGGUCCAAUAAGUCAACUGUUAAAUCUUGAGGCUCAACCUCAAAACCGCAGUCGAAACUAUUAGACUAGAGUAUAGUA